GCAUAUCAAUAAGCGGAGGAAAAGAAACCAACAGGGAUUGCCCUAGUAACGGCGAGUGAAGCGGCAACAGCUCAAAUUUGAAAUCUGGCCUCACGGUCCGAGUUGUAAUUUGUAGAGGAUGCUUCUGGCGACGUGCCUUCCGAGUUCCCUGGAACGGGACGCCAUAGAGGGUGAGAGCCCCGUCCGGUCGUGCACCUAGCCUCUGUGAAGCUCCUUCGACGAGUCGAGUAGUUUGGGAAUGCUGCUCUAAAUGGGAGGUAUACGUCUUCUAAAGCUAAAUACCGGCCAGAGACCGAUAGCGCACAAGUAGAGUGAUCGAAAGAUGAAAAGCACUUUGAAAAGAGGGUUAAAUAGUACGUGAAAUUGCUGAAAGGGAAGCGCUUAUGACCAGACUUGGGCUCGGUGAAUCAUCCGGCGUUCUCGCCGGUGCACUUUGCCGUCCCAGGCCAGCAUCAGUUCGCGCCGGGGGAUAAAGGCUUCGGGAAUGUAGCUCCUUCGGGAGUGUUAUAGCCCGUUGUGUAAUACCCUGGCGUGGACUGAGGUCCGCGCUCUGCAAGGAUGCUGGCGUAAUGGUCAUCAGUGACCCGUCUUGAAACACGGACC
rnacentral:rRNA from 1 species